GUGACCAUAGAUGGGUCAUGGAGCGAUAAAUGUGACAAAGGCCACUAUGAUCCUAUAUUAGUGUUUUUAGUGGACUAGAUUGUUUCAAAGAUGACACUCAUAAAUUUUAACAACAAAAGUUUGAGCUCAUAAAGUUAGCAAUGUUUAAUAUUGAGUUGACCUAUGCAGCCCAAGUGGGAGAUUAUAAGGAAUUUGCUGUAGGUGGGCCUACAUAUAUCAAAUAAUUGUACAUUGUAUACUGUUAAAUGAAGUAAGAGUGGUGUCGGUUCGACCAAUUAAAUUAUGAUCCAUACAAAAACAUGAUCGGGUCAUGGACUGUAACACCCGCCUUUUUCUUUAAUUGUUACUUUUAUAAUUAAUCUGAAUUAUGCAUCUUAUGUGCCUUGUAUGCCUAUUUUUGUGUAGUGUGUUUGCUAACAGAUAUGUUCCCUUCUAAUAAGACUUGUCUGAUUCGCUAAAUUGUAGAGUUAUAAAGAUUAGUUGAUGGAUUAAGUGAGUAGGGUUAAUUGACCUUAAAUUAAGAGAGUGGUAAUGUAAUUAAUUAAAUAACUUCAGUAAAGAGACUCACACUUAACUAACCCAAGUUAAUAUUUAUGAGUUCAAUAUAAGGGAUGGAGAGAUAGAAACUUUGGGAAGUCAAGAGUAUUCUAGGGUUGACUGAAGAGAGAAAGAAGAGAAAGUGGGAAAGGUGAAGGAGAAAGGGAAAAUUUGGGGCAACUUCAUCAAAUUUACCUAUAAAGGUAAGGGUUCUUCUUAAAUUCUUGCACGAAGAUAAUUGGUACCUUGAACUCAUGGAGUUGAGAGAGAGAGAAGUUGAGUAAUAGGGGUGUGUUAUAACCCUAAUAGAGUACAUUCUUCCCAACCCUUGUAUAUGUGGUAUACUCAAGCCUAUUUACUUAAUUUUGCAUGACUUUAACUCAGAUGUCUAUAAAUUUGUUGAAACAUAGAGUUUCUAUUUAAUUUUGGAAGUUGUUGAUGAGCCUUGAGUUUGAAUUUGAAACUCUAUUUUUGAGUUGGACUUGGAAAUUGGUUGUACACCAUGUUUGUUAAGUUUUGGCCUUUAAUUUGAAUGGAUUUGGGUUUGAUUUGGAGAAAUUUGGGCUGGAGAGCCCGCACGUGCGGGAAGCACAGGCGCAUGUGCGGCGGGUAGGCCCACAUGUACGGAAAACAGGGGAGGUGCUGGAAGCAUUCUGAAAUAAAAGCACCUGGUAGCGCACGUGCGACUAGAGUCCCGCACGUGCGGCCAAGGGGCUCCGCACGUGUGGCUGUCUGGUGACUCCGAUUUUACUUUUCUGCUUCAUUUACCCCAUUCUUGGGCCUCCGUUAGCAUGUUUUGUACCCGUAAUUACUAUCCAUAUGCAAUGCAUGAACGUUUAAUGAGAGUUAACAACCAUUGGACUAUUCGAUUCCUAAGUAAAGGAACCAAUAAGUUUAAUGUGUGACAAUUAAGCAUUCUACGUUUUAAUUUAUCUGUGUAGGUCAAACACCAAGUUCCAGUCACCUGCAUCACGAAACCCACUGUGAUCUAGCUCAGGAAAGGACGUAGUGGCGUUGGUCUUACUCGGGUUUUGCCAAGCUAACCAUCAUGCCUCACCGCGAGGUCCCCAUCUACCUAAGUUUUGAUCUGGCCAGUGUCCACCUUUUUGUUAUGCACUCAUGUGUUUUGGUCAAGUUGUCACUAGUAUUAUAAUUGUUGACAAUAAGGGUAUCUUUUUCCCCUUUUGCUUGUCUUUUUAGACGAACUUGUAAUGGCUUGUUGUACUUCUGCGCGUAUAUAAGUAUAUAUAUACAUAUAUGUAUAGCAAUGUCUUUCGCCUCA